rnacentral:rRNA from 1 species
AGCGAACGCUGGCGGCAGGCCUAACACAUGAAAGUCGAACGAACCCUUCGGGGUUCGUGGCGGACGGGUGAGUGACACGUGGGAACGUGCCUUUAGGUUCGUAAUAACUCAGGGAAACUUGUGCUAAUACAGAAUGUGCCCUUCGGGGGAAAGAUUUAUUGCCGUUAGAGCGGCCAGCGUGUGAUUGGCUAGUUGGUGGGGUAAUGGCUCACCAAGGCGACGAUCAGUAGCUGGUCUGAGAGGAUGACCAGCCACAUUGGGACUGAGACACGGCCAAAACUACUACGGGAGGCAGCAGUGGGUAAGCUUGCGCAAUGGGCGAAAGCCUGACGCAGCCAUGCCGCGUGAAUGAUGAAGGUCUUAGGAUUGUAAAAUUCUUUCACCGGGGACGAUAAUGACGGUACCCGGAGAAGAAGCCCCGGCUAACUUCGUGCCAGCCGCCGCGGUAAGAC